UACAGAGGGUGCUAGCGUUGUUCGGAAUCAUUGGGCGUAAAGGGCGUGUAGGCGGUUUGUUAAGUCAUGUGUGAAAUCCCUCGGCUCAACCGGGGAACGACGCAUGAAACUGGCAAGCUAGAGUACCAAAGAGGGGGGGGUGGAAUUCCCGGUGUAGCGGUGAAAUGCGUAGAGAUCGGGAGGAACACCAGAGGCGAAGGCGGCGACCUGGACAGGUACUGACACUCAACUACGAAAGCGUGGGGAGCAAACAGG
rnacentral:rRNA from 1 species